CAAAGUGGCUAUACCACCCUGAAAGAGCCCGAUCUCGUCUGAUCUUGGAAGCUAAGCAGGGUCGGGCCUGGUUAGUACUUGGAUGGGAGACAAGAAUUUUAUUAAAAUUCUAGAUACUGAAUGUU
rnacentral:rRNA from 1 species